AAAGUGGAGCAAUCCAUGAGUAAAGUGGCGUACGGGUGAGUAACACGUGGGUAAUCUACCUCUGGGUGGGGAAUAACCCUGGGAAACCGGGGCUAAUACCGCAUAAGCCUGGAAAGGGAAAGGCGAAAGUCGCCGAGAGAGGAGCCCGCGGCCGAUUAGCUAGUUGGUAGGGUAAAGGCCUACCAAGGCGAUGAUCGGUAGCCGGCCUGAGAGGGCACACGGCCACACUGGCACUGAAACACGGGCCAGACUCCUACGGGAGGCAGCAGUGGGGAAUCUUGCACAAUGGGGGCAACCCUGAUGCAGCGACGCCGCGUGAGCGAUGAAGCCCUUCGGGGUGUAAAGCUCUUUCGGCUGGAACGAUGAUGACGGUACCAGCAGAAGAAGCUGCGGCUAACUACGUGCCAGCAGCCGCGGUAAUACGUAGGCAGCGAGCGUUGUUCGGAGUUACUGGGCGUAAAGAGUGCGUAGGCGGUUGGCUAAGUUUGGUGUGAAAUCUCCCGGCUCAACUGGGAGGGUGCGCCGAAAACUGGCUGGCUGGAGUGUGGGAGAGGCUAGCGGAAUUCCUGGUGUAGCGGUGAAAUGCGUAGAUAUCAGGAGGAACACCUGCGGUGUAGACGGCUGGCUGGACCACUACUGACGCUNAGGCACGAAAGCGUGGGGAGCAAACAGGAUUAGAUACCCUGGUAGUCCACGCCCUAAACGAUGCAUACUUGGUGUGGGCAGUUCAUUCUGUCCGUGCCGGAGCUAACGCGUUAAGUAUGCCGCCUGGGGAGUACGGUCGCAAGGCUG
rnacentral:rRNA from 1 species